rfam:TPA: Bos taurus chromosome X, whole genome shotgun sequence.
UCCCUGGUGGCUCAGCUGGUAAAGAAUCCGCCUGCAAUGCGGGAGACCUGGGUUCGAUCCCUGGGUUGGGAA